CCUAGGGAGAGUAGCAGCAGUGCUGAACUUUCUCCAUUUAUAGACAAUAUGUCUUACCGUGGACUGAUGAACAGCAAGGCUUUUGGGGAUACUUUUAUAACCCUUUCCAGCUUUAUGCAAGUCAACAAUUCUUAAUCGUAGGUCUUCUGAGAGCUCUUUUGUGCGAGGCAUCAUUCACAUCAGGCAAUGCUUCUUGUGAAAAGCAAACCCAGAACUGGUGUGUGUUUUUUAUAGGGCAGGGCAGCUGUAACCUC
rnacentral:lncRNA from 1 species